GGGGGGGGGGUGGAAGGACUGUUUUCUCUCUCUCUCCCUUGCCUUCCACUCGUGGUCCCAGAAGAGGAAAUGAAGGGAGCAAACUUCACUUGACAGAAAGAAGGAGGGAGGGACACAAGACUAACUUGCGUGAACUGCUAGGUAAGCAUAAGCUGUCUGCGUGUGUCUCGCAUUCUUGCAUGUUGCCGUGCGUUUGUCUUUGCACUCUGCCAGAUGGAGGAAAUCAGUACGUUUUUUGAAAGGUGUGAAUAUGAAUGCGCACAUUGUCUAGGCCACGGAUAGAACCGCCACCACCAGCAAUAGGAGACGUGUGAGAGACUGAACGCAUUCUUCCUCCUGGAACAGGUCCGAGGACCUGGUGUCCAUGGGACCCUGUUGUAGCACAAGCAGUUUUUGUUUGGCGCUGGAAUCGGCCUACCCUGUCCCCUAAGCCUGACUCCAUUUUGAUCACAGGUGAGGACAGACCGCCCUUUGCGGACACGGCGCUGUUCAGCAUCGUUGCCACUGGCUCGUGCGGUACUGGCCCACUGGUAUGUGUCUCUUCUUAUUCCCUUCUGCUUCCCUCUCCAUUCACUGUCCACCUUAUCACUUCACACAAGCCAAACAGCCGUUUGUGCCUCUCUCACACUAAUGGUUUUGAUGCGUAGACUUUACGACUUGAUGCUGAUAUAUUGUGUGAUCAGAUCCUCUUGGCCAUACAAAUGAAUAAAAGUCCGAUCUUCGCUCCCACACACCUCUGAAUCCCAGUGUCCUCACAUACAUUGAAGUAUUUUUUUUCCUUAUAAACAGCUACGGUUCCUUUGAAACUUUCAAGCAUGUAAUAAAACACAAAUAAUUCCAAUUGCGACAGCUGCAAAAUUGGCCUUUGUGCUGAAAAGUUGUGAGGCGUGAUGUAAAUGUUUACAUUUGAGUUAGCUCUGACUCUUGCCUUCUGUAGGAUCCCAAGUAAAUACAGUAUGCAUACAUGCAGACCGCAGAAUAGAUAGUCAGAGUUAUCAGAGUAAUGAAAAUGUCUGUUUGCUCUUGCAACAUUCUAUUUUCACUCAUAUUCCGCAAUGUUUCAAACAUCUCAAAUGGUUUUCCAACAGUCGUUUUCAUCAAAAUCAAAAUCCGUAUCAAAAUAUGAUCAAUAUAUUUCAAAAUAACUGUUACACUGUCAAGAUGCAGAUUUCAUGACAGUAUUUCUCAGUACUUGGUCUAUUGUUUGAUCAUAUCGGUUGAUAAAUGUCAGAGGGGAGUGGCAGAACCCUGUGUAUUUUGCUACAUUGAAUUGCAGCUUGUUGCAUUCAGAUAUUUUUGUAUUCUGGCACAAGAACCCUAAUGGAUAAUGGAUAUUUGGUGCAGUGCUCCUUUUUGAAUCUGCAUGGGCAAGCCAAUAGGGUUUUGAACGAUUUCACACAGACCAGAUUUUAUGAGUUGUUGUGUAAUCGCAAUAACUCGUAUAGUAAAAUCAACAUAUUUGAUUAAAAUCAACGUAUUUGAACAGAAU